rnacentral:rRNA from 1 species
AGUGAACGCUGGCGGUAGGCCUAACACAUGCAAGUCGAACGGCAGCACAGUAAGAGCUUGCUCUUACGGGUGGCGAGUGGCGGACGGGUGAGGAAUACUUCGGAAUCUACUUUUUCGUGGGGGAUAACGUAGGGAAACUUACGCUAAUACCGCAUACGACCUACGGGUGAAAGCAGGGGAUCUUCGGACCUUGCGCGAUUGAAUGAGCCGAUGUCGGAUUAGCUAGUUGGCGGGGUAAAGGCCCACCAAGGCGACGAUCCGUAGCUGGUCUGAGAGGAUGAUCAGCCACACUGGAACUGAGACACGGUCCAGACUCCUACGGGGGGCAGCAGUGGGGAAUAUUGGGCAAUGGGGGAAAGCCUGAUCCAGCCAUACCGCGUGGGUGAAGAAGGCCUUCGGGUUGUAAAGCCCUUUUGUUGGGAAAGAAAAGCAGCAGGUUAAGACCCCGCUGUUCUGACGGUACCCAAAGAAUAAGCACCGGCUAACUUCGUG